GGUCACGUGAUGGAGUUGGUCACCAUACCUGUCUAACAUUCUUUGAAUGUCCUCACAGGAGGUCGGCGGUUCGAUCCCGCCCGGGAUCA
rnacentral:tRNA from 2 species